ensembl:lncRNA
CUCCAUUCUCUGCUCACCCCUCUCCCAGGACACUGCGCAGGCGACACGACGCCCCGCCUGACGCCCCGCCUUUCUCCCCGCCCUGCCGCGCCCCAGGGACGCAGCGCGCACAGGGACGCAGCGCGCACGCAACCGCGUUUCCGGCGCUACCUGGCUGCUGUGCCCCGCAGCUUGUGGCGCUUGUGGACCGCGUGGGCCUGCGGGAGAUCGAGUUGGUCAGUGGAUCUUGCUGAGUUUCCUGUGGGCCUGUGUGAAAUGAUCGGCAUCUGUUCAGCGUUACUAUGUGCUAAGCACCUUUGCAUGUGUCAUCCGUUGAAUGCUCACAACAGCCCCAGGAAAUUGGUACCAGUGUUAUCCUCAUGAUUCUUGUUCUCUUUUCUGGACUGAGAAGAGAAGAAUGGAGAAGAGCCCCUUCCCAUUAGUGCCUUUGCAUUGGUUUGGCUUUGGCUACACAGCACUGGUUGUUUCUGGUGGGAUCGUUGGCUAUGUAAAAACAGGUAUGGUUUUGUUGUUACUUAGCC